GUUCUGGCUUCAGUGGUAUAUAUACUAAAUUUGAAUACAGAGAAGAUUGGCCUGGCCCCUGCACAAGCAUGACACGCAAAUUGCUGAAGCAUUGCAUGAAAAA